rnacentral:rRNA from 1 species
AACGCUAGCUACAGGCUUAACACAUGCAAGUCGAGGGGCAGCAUUUUAGUUUGCUUGCAAACUGAAGAUGGCGACCGGCGCACGGGUGAGUAACACGUAUCCAACCUGCCGAUAACUCCGGAAUAGCCUUUCGAAAGAAAGAUUAAUACCGGAUAGCAUACGAAUAUCGCAUGAUAUUUUUAUUAAAGAAUUUCGGUUAUCGAUGGGGAUGCGUUCCAUUAGUUUGUUGGCGGGGUAACGGCCCACCAAGACUACGAUGGAUAGGGGUUCUGAGAGGAAGGUCCCCCACAUUGGAACUGAGACACGGUCCAAACUCCUACGGGAGGCAGCAGUGAGGAAUAUUGGUCAAUGGGCGAGAGCCUGAACCAGCCAAGUAGCGUGAAGGAUGAAGGCUCUAUGGGUCGUAAACUUCUUUUAUAUGGGAACAAAGUUUUCCACGUGUGGAAUUUUGUAUGUACCAUAUGAAUAAGGAUCGGCUAACUCCGUGCCAGCAGCCGCGGUAAUACGGAGGAUCCGAGCGUUAUCCGGAUUUAUUGGGUUUAAAGGGAGCGUAGGUGGAUUGUUAAGUCAGUUGUGAAAGUUUGCGGCUCAACCGUAAAAUUGCAGUUGAAACUGGCAGUCUUGAGUACAGUAGAGGUGGGCGGAAUUCGUGGUGUAGCGGUGAAAUGCUUAGAUAUCACGAAGAACUCCGAUUGCGAAGGCAGCUCACUAGACUGUCACUGACACUGAUGCUCGAAAGUGUGGGUAUCAAACAGGAUUAGAUACCCUGGUAGUCCACACAGUAAACGAUGAAUACUCGCUGUUUGCGAUAUACAGUAAGCGGCCAAGCGAAAGCAUUAAGUAUUCCACCUGGGGAGUACGCCGGCAACGGUGAAACUCAAAGGAAUUGACGGGGGCCCGCACAAGCGGAGGAACAUGUGGUUUAAUUCGAUGAUACGCGAGGAACCUUACCCGGGCUUAAAUUGCAACAGAAUAUAUUGGAAACAGUAUAGCCGUAAGGCUGUUGUGAAGGUGCUGCAUGGUUGUCGUCAGCUCGUGCCGUGAGGUGUCGGCUUAAGUGCCAUAACGAGCGCAACCCUUAUCUUUAGUUACUAACAGGUCAUGCUGAGGACUCUAGAGAGACUGCCGUCGUAAGAUGUGAGGAAGGUGGGGAUGACGUCAAAUCAGCACGGCCCUUACGUCCGGGGCUACACACGUGUUACAAUGGGGGGUACAGAAGGCGGCUACCUGGUGACAGGAUGCUAAUCCCAAAAACCUCUCUCAGUUCGGAUCGAAGUCUGCAACCCGACUUCGUGAAGCUGGAUUCGCUAGUAAUCGCGCAUCAGCCAUGGCGCGGUGAAUACGUUCCCGGGCCUUGUACACACCGCCCGUCAAGCCAUGAAAGCCGGGGGUACCUGAAGUACGUAACCGCAAGGAGCGUCCUAGGGUAAAACUGGUAAUUGGGGC